CCUCUUUCUCCUUUGUCUUUGCCUGGUGGCUGCCACAUGGUCAGACCUGAGUUUCCUUCCUGGUUGUGCACUUUUACCUGGUCAUCUUGGUGUCCAUUGAAUCAAGGUUUGCUAACUUCUAGAACAUUGUUGAACGUAUUUGAAUUGUUUCAAUGGAAGUUAACAUUUGUAUCUGUCUUUUGUAGUGGUGUUAAGCGGGACCAGCGGACAGCUGGGUAAAUGUAGCUACCUGGGCAGUGCAGUGGUUGCUGGCUAGCGGUGGAGGCUAGGCACUCUGGGUGGUUCCCUGCACCUUUUUGUUGUAGUGAUAGGCGCACUGGGACACAGUAGUCUGCACCUGUUUGCCGUGUUUUGCAGUGAGUUCACGUGUGGUGGGUAAGUGCACUCCUGGGACACUUCUUUUGGUAGACUGCCUCCCCCUUGCUAGCUCCCACUCACUCCCUUUUCCCUUUUUGUUGGUUUUAGCCACUUUACCUGGAAGUGUUUUAUUAAUUAAAGACCAAUUGUUAAAAAGAAUAAAUUGUAAUAAAAUUUUGAUACAUCCUUUCCAUAAAUUUGACUUAAAAUUCAUUUCCAAUUACUAACUCCUCUUUUCUUCCCACAGCCACUUCCAGUCCCAUUAAUAUAUUUUUGCAUUUAAACUUAUAAAUAAAUUUUUGAGUUGCUUUUUGAACCACG